rnacentral:rRNA from 1 species
CCAGCCGUCGAAGCCGAAACCGCAUCCCAUCAGAACUCCACAAUUAAGCGUGCUUGGGCGAGAGUAGUUCUAAGUUGGGUGACCACUUGGGAAGUCCUCGUGUUGCACCCC